rnacentral:rRNA from 1 species
GAUUUCUGGUUUGAAAGACUUAGCCCGCCAUGUUUUCAUGUGUGAGUGCUGAUUGUCAUUCAACCAUCCUUCUAGAUACUACUUUAUCUUACUCUUCAUUGAGUGUAGAUAAUAGAAUCUAGAUCGUUUACUUUGAAAAAAUUAGAGUGUUUCAAGCAGGCUUGUUGCUAUGAAUACAUUAGCAUGGAAUAAUAAUUUAGGACUUCGGUUCUAUUUUGUUGGUGUUCUAGGACUGAAGUAAUGAUUGAUAGGGAUAGUUGGGGGUGCUAGUAUUCAGAGGCCAGAGGUGAAAUUCUUGGAUUCUCUGAAGACUAACUUAUGCGAAAGCAUU